rnacentral:rRNA from 1 species
UGGAGACUGAGACACGGCCCAGCUCCUACGGGAGGCAUCAGUGGGGAAUAUUGCACAAUGGGCGCAAGCCUGAUGCAGCCAUGCAGCGUGUGUGAAGAAGGCCUUCGGGUUGUAAAGCGCUUUCAGUCAGGAGGAAAGGUUAGUAGUUAAUACCUGCUAGUUGUGACGUUACUGACAGAAGAAGCACCGGCUAACUCCGUGCCAGCAGCCGCGGUAAUACGGAGGGUGCGAGCGUUAAUCGGAAUUACUGGGCGUAAAGCGUACGCAGGCGGUUUGUUAAGCGAGAUGUGAAAUCCCCGGGCUCAACCUGGGAACUGCAUUUCGAACUGGCAAACUUGAAUGGGAUAGAGGGUGGUAGAAUUUCAGGUGUAGCGGUGAAAUGCGUUAUAUCUGAAGGAAUACCGAUGGCGAAGGCAGCCACCUGGGUCAACACUGACGCUCAG